rnacentral:rRNA from 1 species
UACGUAGGGACCAAGCGUUGUUCGGAUUUACUGGGCGUAAAGGGCGCGUAGGCGGCAAUUCAAGUCAUCUGUGAAAUCUCCGGGCUUAACUCGGAACGGUCAGGUGAAACUGCUUUGCUAGAGUGCGGAAGGGGCAAUCGGAAUUCCCGGUGUAGUGGUGAAAUGCGUAGAUAUCGGGAGGAACACCAGUGGCGAAGGCGACUACCUGGCCUGUUCUUGACGCUGAGGCGCGAAAGCUAGGGGAGCAAACGGGG